UACGUAGGGGGCAAGCGUUGUCCGGAAUUAUUGGGCGUAAAGCGCGUGUAGGCGGCUCGGUAAGUCUGCUGUGAAAGUCCAAGGCUCAACCUUGGAAUGCCGGUGGAUACUGUCGAGCUCGAGUCCGGAAGAGGCGAGUGGAAUUCCUGGUGUAGCGGUGAAAUGCGCAGAUAUCAGGAGAACACCUAUGGCGAAGGCAGCACUCUGGACGGUACUGACGCUGAGACGCGAAGCGUGGGAGCGAACAGG
rnacentral:rRNA from 1 species